AGGGUUACCAAGGAACAAAGGCUGUAUUCUGCUUUGUAAUUAUGUCCUAAAGCUCUCCAUCAAGGUACUCAGCACCAGCUUCCUUGUGCAUGGCAGCAGAGAUCCAUCUGCCCCACAAUAGCCUUUCUGGCAUCCAUCCAGCUGAGAGUACAUUAAAUGGCCCAUUGAGCACUCAACUACUACAGUAACUAAUGGACCCAAGGAGGUGGCAGUUCAUAAUAUCCACACUUUUUUCAGUGGAACAAGCUCAGCAUUAAUUUCCCUGUCAAUAUGAGUGGCCAGAAUCCCUGGAUCUCAAGGACUCACAGCUGGCUGAGAUUUAACCUGAACAAAUCUCUAUGAACAGCAGCCAUCCAGCUUUAGUAUCACAUCAGUGGGGAUGCAUUGUAAAGCUCAGCUGCACCUCCUAAUAAACAAGGAGUUGGAACACCCAAUAUGUCCCAUGUCCACGACCAACAGCUUCCAGACCAACAGCUUCCAGCCAGAAUUGCUUGGUGAUGUGAAUCUAAGAGCAAGUAGAUGUUGUUAAGAAAAGGAAAACAAUGAAAUAUUUAAGCAGAUACAGUCAUUAUGAGACUUACCAAAAUAAAGUCAGCAUAGAAAAAGGUCUGAAAACUUCAACAUAAAAGGUCAAGACUGGGGAGAGAAGAGGAACAGUGCAGACCGCCCACAGCAGUUUGAAGUCCGUUUUUGCUAAAUGCUCUACUCUUUUAAAGAGGAGAAAAUAGCCUAGUGCAGAUGUGGGCAGCAGGAAAUGCUUCUGACUUCAUUUGUAAGCAAUUCCAGUUCUACAGCAAAAAAAAAAACUGUAGUCGGGUUUCAGGACAAACAGCCCUCAAACUUGCUCAAGACUUAAAGCUGAGCAGGGCUUUGAGGUUAAAAAGCUAAGACUGUUUAUGUAGUCACCAAGAGAAUUUCCUGAGAAUUUAGUGCAAGGGUAAACUUAAGCACUAAGGAGUCAAGCAUCACUGCCCUGCUAUAUGGGAACAGUUUCAGACUUUGUUUUCUGAAAGCAUCAAGGAAGCAAGCACAUUGUCCACAAAAAAGGUCACUUGGUGCCAUUCACUUCUCGGAAUCUAUCAUGGUUGGCCAGCAGGAAAGAUACUUCCAAGAAAAAAAACAGAAACAACUUGCAGGUGAGAAAUAGGCAUUCUCAGGCUGCUCACUGACAGCAACUACUUCAGCAGCAGCAUAGGAGUGCCUAAGCUCCAUAUCCAUGGGCUUGCAUAGCCACAUUGAUAGUGCAGCAUUUAAAACCAUUUUUUUUUUGGACACAGAAUUACCUGCUACAAACUAAUUGAAAAGCUCCAAGGAAAAAUACUGUGGCUAAAGGAAAAAAAAAAACCAGGAAGACUGCAGGAAAACAUAAUUACAGCAAUUAAUUUAUAACAGACAAGAAACAAUGGUUAGGCAAUGAAAGUUACAAUAUGCAAGGGACAGAUUGCUGAAGACAGAGCCAGCUGAAGUCUGUUUGUCACAGCCAUAAAAUUUGCUGCCAAUUUAAUUCCAGUUCAAUAGGUAUUUCAACUUUUUAAGGCACUGCUUUAAGCUACAGUAGAUUGAAGUUCUAAUUAUGAUGACAACUAAGCCAACAAAAAUUCAGAGUUCCUUUUAAAGAGACCCACAAUCCCUCUGUGCUGCCAAAACUGCAUAUGAACUCUGAAUCUCGUGUUGCUACAUGAAAUUUCAGAAAAUGAGAGAGUUUACCCAUUCAGACAAAACUCUGAUAAUCCUCUUUUGCCACAGGAAACAAGGCAGCAACAAUUUACUUGCCCAUCAAAAAGUGACCCCAAGAGCUCAGUUUUGCAACAUUACAUUACAGUGCUGGCAUGUGCUUCUGCAAUGUGCAUCCCCGUCUAAGAAGAGGAACUUACUUGUAUAACAAUGAGCCCUGUGUCUGAUGGAGAGGUGUUUUGGGGUGUGAAGAGAAAGAAAUUCUUUUCCAGGCAUACUACAAAUAGGAGCUACAGGAGGAAGGUGAGGCCCAAUAAGUAAAGAACUUGAGAGAAAGCUGAGAGUUGAGCUCACAUUAGGAGGGAAGCAGAAGGCAGGAGUAGAGAUUAGGAACCAAGAACAGGAAACAGAAGCUGGAAAAGACAAAUAGGAACUUUAGGUGAAUAAACAGCAGCUAGGUUUCUAUCUGAGCUGUGCAGCAUCAAAAGCAGUAACAAGGUAGAGGACUAAAAUGGUUAUAAUAAUAGGAAGAGAUUGCAGAGGACCAAAAUACAUAGCUUGCAUGUACCUCAAAUGCUUUCACAGACAGAUUACAGAAACAUUACAGGCAGCUCUAAUUUCUUAUGCUAGCAUUUAUACCUCAGAACACCAAGAAGCCACAUCUCACUGGUCUUGCUUAGAUCAGUGCUGUUCCUCUCCGAGAUGGGGAAAACAACAAAAGCACAGUUGUUUCCUCAAGAGUGAGCCAGGAAGCCUGUGGCAGCCCAGGGAAUAGGCAUCCUAACUCCAGACAGCACAUGUGACAAGUGCAGCGUGAUCAAAACGUUCAGAACUGCUGUCUGCAUGGCUAAUAAGAUUAGCAAAUACAUUCCUAUCCAAGAAGUGCUCCAUCUGCUUUAAAGCCCCUGCUAAAGAAAAUCUAACAUCGAAGAUUUGUUAUUGAGAAUGCCACACUUCAUCCUCUGUGGAGUCGCUUACCAUUCACCCUUGAUAUUAAAUUUCUACCAACUGCUGUUGCUUUAGGAACAGCUGGAAGAGGAGCGUGGAGAGGCAGGUCCUGGCCUACCAAAGGCUCUCAGGUUCAGGACCUCAGUGCCACCAUCUAGGAGCUCUGACUUUACAGGAGGCAUAGACAAACCCUGGCAUCCCUGCUCAAAUCCCUUUUUCCCCACACUGAAGAGAAACAGACUGCCUCUGCACAGGGCAAACCAUUGCAACAGCAGCAGCACAGCUCCCAGUAUGCAGAUCAAGCUUCAUCUUUGAAAAACGCAAGUUUUGAGAUGCUUCUCCAUUCAGCACUGAAGUUCCCUCACAGUCAGAUCAGAGAUUAAUACAGUUACUUUGCUGACAGAUUGGUUGAAUGAAGGCUUUUCACUAUUAAAUAGAGAAGAAAGUUGUUUCUAACUGUUGCCAGUGUUUGAGAAUAAAUAGCUCCUUUACCUUCACCGUUUUUGGCAGAGAUGCAUCUGUCUGGCCAAGUGAUUUGGAGCCAAAGUUUUGCUGUUUUGUGCUGACAGGUUUCUGAACUUCUGUCUCGCUCUCCAGGUUUUGUCCAACUAAGGGAGGAGAAGAGAGGAAGAAAAGAUCAUUAGAAUGACUUGAAAACCGUGGAAAGUUUAUGCUGAUAAGGCCAAAUAGCAAUCCUACCAGCUAGGGGCUAAAACAUUUGUUUGCUAUUAAACUUUUUGAUCUACAUAAAGCAAAUACAUUUAAACAUGA